UUAUUCAAAUGUAUUAUUUUCAAAACAAAUCAAAUGGUUAACAUUGAUUUACUCAAGUAAGCCGAUACAAGCCCAUUGGGUCAAAAGAACGGGGUUCAUCCAUUGAUUCCAUUCUAUGAUUAUAUCCUAACACCAUCUGACGGCUCACAAAGCAUCACCAUCAUCACAAAGACCUCCAUCCUUCUCUUAUAAUAAGCCUCUUCACCUCGCCACAUCAACAAGUAACCCUAGCUAAACAUACAACCAUCAUCAAGUCACACCCCCUUCAACCCUCUCAAAUCUAGGGUUUUUUUUUUGUCUAAAUUUCAAAUGUCAAGACAUCAUAGAUUUGUAGCUCUCGUAGCCGACGAUUUACAAAAAUUUGGGGCGAAAUAGUUGAUGUUCGUAAAACUCAAUGGUAAAUCGUCGCAAAUCGAGCCGUCUCUGUGAUCACAGCGGUUGAGCCGCCCUUCGCCGGGCGGUUCCCGUUAACCGGAGAAGGCGUUGUCACAUCCUAUCGCCUUGGGGAGCGGAGUCUCUGCAAUUACCUCUUGGGAUUGGCCGUGAGAAAGACAUUCACUAAUCGUUUGAAUUCCAUACUUGAAAUCGGCCUGUGAUGAAAUCUAUUUAAAAGAACACCAUCUUUCGGGACUGAAUGGUCUUUCUCGAGAUCUUGAUGUCAAUUCUGCAAUUCUGAGGCCAUUUUUCUGUGAUUUUUUUUUAAUUUAAAAUGUUGUAACAAAUGCGUACUGUAUUUGAAUUCGAAUGUGGAUUCAAGUACCAAUAAUCAUCAUUCAUCAAAUUCCUUUUGCUAUCAGAAUGAAGAAUUUUUUCAAACAAUAUGAACACUUUCCUGAAUUUCUGUCUUUCAUAAAAUGCAUCGAUGAAACUCUGAAUUCUCAAUUGAUAGCUUGUUUGUUACCGAUUAUUUACAAAAUGUUUGGGGCAAGUUAGUUUAUAUUAGAAUAGUAUGUCCUUUUGGGCUAUUAAAUGAUCCCAUGUUAAUAUUUUAGAGCACAAUGCACAAAAUCAAAUUUAUGCAUGAACAAAUCCGGUGUCGUUUUCCUCAAGCUUUCGUGAUUUCACCAUCAUAUUACAUGUAUAUCAAAGUGAAUGUUUCCAUAUCCAUUUUUGAUUAAAUGUUUAUUGCAUAAUAGCAUUGAAAAUGUAGACACUGUGUAGAAAAUGGACUUUUAGGUUAAAAAGCAUUCCCAAACGCCACUAAAAGCAAAUACUUUAUUUAAAACAAAGCCUAAAACAUAUUCAUGCUUUAAACAAAUACUUUUACUUUAAUGAAUCAGAAAUAUUAUGAAUUUAAGUAGGCAUGUUUACUUGUAUAUAUAACUAUUAACAUUUUAAUAAUAUUUUUAUUUGUUCACUUUGGGUUUAGCGGCCUUGAAGGUUGUAUCUUUGAAUAUAGUUGUAUUAUCUUUUUUAGAAUUUUGUAGCUUUGUUUGUGGUUAAUGGUGCCAUUAGAAAUUUGAAGUAUACUACCUAAACAACAUUAGGAGUUGGAUCAUUUUUUGUUAGAAUGUCUAAUAACCGUAGAUCACAAACAUCUCUUACCAUCUUUUUUGCCAUAAAAAAGGUUGUUUGUGAUUUGGAGUGGUUAGACAUGAAAGACGAUCAAUUCCAUGUUUGCUUGAUUUGAAGUCUAUAUAUAAUUUCUAAGACCAUCCAUAUGAAAUCAAUGAAUGAGUUUAAUGAGUUGAAAUGUCUAGUUAUAAUUUCUAAGACCAUCUUAUUGUGAUGUAAUUUUAUCGUAAUGAGAUUUUAUCUCGAUAGAUUUGGAGGUUAAUGGUCAUUGAGUUAUUUAAUGAAAAAAGGAAAAGUUUUUUAAUUUUAAAUAUUUAUUAUAAAUCAAUUUUUGUAUCUUUUUAUUGAAAUUUGUAGAGUUUAAUGCAUAAUAGGAUAAGAUGAUAGAGUUAUAUGGAGUGUAAAAAAAUUAUGUGAUAUUCCAUUAAGUUUUAUGGACUUCAAUGCAUUGUGGAUACCAUAAGACUUCAAAGCAAGUGUGAAAGUCUAUGUGGCAUCCCAAGGGAAGCUUCAAAUCAAGUGUGGAUAACUUGAUGCUUCAAAUCAAGUGUGAAAGUCUAUGUGGCAUCCCAAGGGACGUUGGAACCCCCAAGGGUCUAGUUUGGCAUCUCCAUGAGGACGAAUGAAAACACCUUAUAAGAAAUUAGCGGCAACAUCGAUCAUUCUUUUUUUUUUCUUUUUUCUUUCUACCUCUUCACCACCAAUCUACCGGCGAACAUCAUUUCUACUACCUAGUCGAUUAGUUGUGGAAUGGUAAAAAAUCUAUGUGACCGUAGGGUUGUGCCAUUUGCGACUUCGGCAUUUGAAUUGUGAAGAUACAAACAAGUAAAGUAGGGUUGUGCAUUGUGGGUUGUAUGUUCGCAGAUGGAAUUCAAUUUGUUACUAUUUUUUUGUACACAUAAAGAUAGUUCUUGUAGCCGACGAUUUACAAAAUAUUGGGGCGAAAUAGUUGAUAUUCGUAAAACUCAAUGGUAAAUCGUUGCAAAUCUAGCCGUCUUUGUGAUCACAGCGGUUGAGCCGCCCUUUGCCGGGCAGUCCCCGUUAACCGGAGAAGGCGUUGUCACAUCCUAUCGCCUUGGGGAGCGGAGUCUCUGCAAUUACCUCUUGGGAUUGGCCGUGAGAAAGACAUUCACC
rnacentral:lncRNA from 1 species